CCUAGGCAAGAAUUAGCAGUAGGAGGCAGGCACUCCUUGGCUGCCCUUCUGCAAGGGGCCUGGUGCUGACUGGCCACAUUUCUGUGCCAGCUUUCCUGUAACACUCCUGUACAUCGGUUUCAUGCUCCAUGUGCAUUAACACCAAUCCACAGAAAACCGCUUGUCCUUGUGGCAGAAAGUGUUCUCAAGAGACUCUUCACUGCAUAGGCCUUCAUGCUUUUGUUUCGACAGUCUCUCUUCUCGCACUGCAAUGUUUUCAAGUCCUUCUUGGCUUCAAGCCUCUCAUAUAAGGAGUGCAGAACUGAAAUAAAUAUGGAUAAACACUUCCCAGCUUGAUCCAUCACAGAAACACUUCUUGAUCUUGCAAGGAAGGAUUCUCUGAGAAUGAUCUUUUUGGCUUCCCUGGGUAAAUACAUGAUGCGUCUUUCCCCACAGGGUAUACAACGUUGGGUAUGCCCACGUGCCCUUUCAUAAGCAUGCUGUCCUGCAGUGCUGUCUGGGAGCAGAAAAAGGCCCCCAGCAUGCCAUCUUUGCAAUGCAGUGCCUUGGCUUCAGAGAAGCAGGAGGAAGGAUUACUUUACAGAGUGCAAGGACUCUGUGCAAGGACAACACGCAUAUUUCCCAACAAGUGAAAAGCAACAGAAUUUCUUAACUCUCUUUGAACUUCAAGUGAAGAUGGAUGAAUACAGGGAGAAACAGAUUUCCCUGUGGUGCCAGAGCUGGAUAUAACUGUAUGGCACUCUUUCUUUGAGGCACCUGCACUGAAACGUUCUGGAUUUCAUUGGGCAUGGUGUCUGGUGGUGACGACUGUACAAUCUACUACUGAAGCAAAUUGUAGAGGAGAUGGCUGACCUGUGGCUAUGGCUGCUUUCUGCGUAUAAAUAUUAUUGUGUGUAUCUGUUUGACCAUGGUAGGAUAUCUAAUGUAUUGUAGAAACAAGUUUGGUACCUCCAGACUUGAUGUCACUUUCACCACAGAUGCUUUCUUCCAAAUUUAUUUUCCCUCACUUGAGCCUUGGUAUUUUAAAAAAAAAAAAAAACUUUAAAAGUGUUGUUUUCUAGGAAAACAUACCCUACUGUCAUUUUUUUGGAAAAAGGGAACUUUAUUGUAAACACUGUUUAAGUGAAAUAUGGUGUACAGAAUGUUAAGUAACUGCUGAGCCAAAUCUCAGUGUCAACACAGAAAUCCUUAG